rnacentral:rRNA from 1 species
GUCUAACAACUAGCAACAGAUUAAAACUAAUAAUUAAGUAUUCUUAUAUAAUGAAUAAGUUAAUUAAAUAAAACAAAUCAUUUUUUAGCCUUAGUAUGGGAGACAGAAAAGGCUCUAUUAGCUAUAGAAAAAGUACCGCAAGGGAAAGUUGAAAGAGAGUUGAAAAGAUAAGUGCCACCCAAAAAAGCAGAGAUUAACCCUCGUACCUUUUGCAUCAUGAUUUAGCAAGUGUACAUUAAGCAAAAAGUCUUACAGUUUAAUUACCCGAAACCAAGUGAGCUACUCCGAGACAACCUUAUUUUAGGGUGUACCCGUCUCUGUCGCAAAAGAGUGGGAUGAGCUCCGAGUAGAGGUGACAUACCUAUCGAACUUGGUUAUAGCUGGUUACCUGAGAAAUGGAUAGUAGUUCAGCACUUCUUCUUCUUGAACCAACUUGUUUAACCUAUUCAGGUCUAAUAGAAGUUUAAGCAGUUAGUUUAAAGGGGUACAGCCCUUUAAACAUAAAAUACAAUUUACCAAAUGGAUAAAGAUCAUAAUAUUAAAGGCGUAAUACUCAAGUGGGCUUGAAAGCAGCCACCUUAAAAUGAAAGCGUUAAAGCUCGUGUAUCAUUCUACUCCUAUUAUACCGAAAACCCCAUCUUAAUCCUUUUUAAUUAUCAGGUUAUGUUAUUAUACUUAACAAUAAUUAUGCUAAAAUGAGUAAUAAGGGGCAGACCCCCUCCUUGCACAAGUGUACGUCGGAACGAACCCGCACCGACCAUUAACGACUUCAAACAGAGAAAAGCGAGUAAGUUGUAAGUAACUAGAAAAACCCCCGCAUUUAAACGUUAAACCCACACUGGUGUGCACCAAGGAAAGAUUUAAAGGAAGAGAAGGAACUCGGCAAACUCAAGCCUCGCCUGUUUACCAAAAACAUCGCCUCUUGUAACUUACUAAAUAAGAGGUCCCGCCUGCCCGGUGACUUAAUGUUUAACGGCCGCGGUAUUUUAACCGUGCAAAGGUAGCGUAAUCACUUGUCUUUUAAAUGAAGACCUGUAUGAAAGGCAUCACGAGGGCUUAGCUGUCUCCUCUCCCCAAUCAAUGAAAUUGAUCUCCCCGUGCAGAAGCUGGGAUGAUAACAUAAGACGAGAAGACCCUAUGGAGCUUUAAACAUAUCAGGUUUACGUCACUGACCCCUAAAUAAAGGAGUAAACUAAAUAUACACCUAGAAAAUGUUUUUGGUUGGGGCGACCACGGGAAAACAAAUAACUCCCAUGACGAAAAAGUAUAACUUUUGAAGCUAAGACAAUCAAGUCUAAGCCAUAGAAAUUCUAACAAAUGAUCCGGCCUGCCGAUCAACGAAACGAGUUACCCUAGGGAUAACAGCGCAAUCCCCUUUAAGAGACCUUAUCAGCAAGGGGGUUUACGACCUCGAUGUUGGAUCAGGACAUCCUAAUGGUGCAGCCGCUAUUAAGGGUUCGUUUGUUCAACGAUUAAAGUCCUACGUGAUCUGAGUUCAGACCGGAGUAAUCCAGGUCAGUUUCUAUCUAUGACAGACUUCUUCUAGUACGAAAGGACCGAAGAAGUAAGGCCCAUGCUAAAAGUAAGCCUUAACCCCACCUGCUGAAGACAAAUAAAGCAGGCAAGGGGUUAAAAAUAUGGUCCUAGAUUAGGAUUU